UAAAGCAGCAACCUGUACUGGCUCGUUGUUUGUGGCUGAGGAAUCCAGACACAGGCCAGCUGUACGAGGUUUUUUGCUCACUGGACUGAAAUCAAGAUGGUGACUCCAGUUGGAGUCUCAGCUGCAUCUUGGAGACUUUCAUCUGCUUCUGGAGAGAGGCCUUUUGGGACCGUCACCCUACACCUCCACUGCAGCCCCUGAACACACUCGGAGAAAGAACGUGAUCUGAACACGUGGCGUUCUUCAUUUGCAGAGGGUCCGUUGUCCGGGUUGUUGCAGCGGUUCAACUUUGACCUCCAGUCAUGUGAUUCUCAACGCUUCCUUCCAUGUCCACAUCAAUGCUCCACCCCUGGCAAAUACCACCGCCUGGCAAGACCAUGGAGAAGGCUUGCGGUCCUGGCAGUUUGAAGCCGCUGCUCCAGCACCAUGCCUGCCUGCCGCCGUGCUGCCCAAUAAGGUGAUCAUGGAGACACCCUCUGAACCUGUAAGCAACGCCCCGAUUAAACAUUUUCAUUCACA